UGAAAAGAACUGAGGUGAUCAGAGUGAAAUAGAACCUGAAACCAUUUGCUUACAAUCAUUCAGAGCCCUAUGUAGCAAUACAGGGUGAUGGACUGCCUUUUGCAUAAUGAGCCUGCGAGUUGUGGUGUCUGGCAAGGUUAAGCAAACGCGAAGCCGUAGCGAAAGCGAGUCUGAAUAGGGCGCUUAGUCAGAUGCUGCAGACCCGAAACGAAGUGAUCUAUCCAUGAGCAAGUUGAAGCUAGUGUAAGAACUAGUGGAGGACUGAACCCAUAGGCGUUGAAAAGCCCCGGGAUGACUUGUGGAUAGGGGUGAAAGGCCAAUCAAACUUCGUGAUAGCUGGUUCUCUCCGAAAUAUAUUUAGGUAUAGCGUUGUGUCGUAAUAUAAGGGGGUAGAGCACUGAAUGGGCUAGGGCAUACACCAAUGUACCAAACCCUAUCAAACUCCGAAUACCUUAUAUGUAAUCACAGCAGUCAGGCGGCGAGUGAUAAAAUCCGUCGUCAAGAGGGAAACAACCCAGACUACCAGCUAAGGUCCCUAAAUCUUACUUAAGUGGAAAACGAUGUGAAGUUACUUAAACAACCAGGAGGUUGGCUUAGAAGCAGCCAUCCUUUAAAGAAAGCGUAAUAGCUCACUGGUCUAGUGAUUUUGCGCGGAAAAUAUAACGGGGCUAAAGUAAGUACCGAAGCUGUAGACUUGCACACAA
rnacentral:rRNA from 1 species